AAACUUUAAUAGUUACAACUUUCAACAACGGAUCUCUUGGUUCUGGCAUCGAUGAAGAACGCAGCGAAAUGCGAUAAGUAGUGUGAAUUGCAGAAUUCAGUGAAUCAUCGAAUCUUUGAACGCACAUUGCGCCCCUUGGUAUUCCAUGGGGCAUGCCUGUUCGAGCGUCAUU
rnacentral:rRNA from 1 species